GUGGAUAGUUCAGUUGGUUAGAGCGUGGUGCCGAUAAUGCUAAGGCUGCAAGUUCGAUCCCUAUACGGGACAUA